rnacentral:rRNA from 1 species
CGCAGCCGCGGUAAUUCCAGCUCCAAUAGCGUAUAUUAAAGUUGUUGCAGUUAAAAAGCUCGUAGUUGAAUUUCGGGACCAAUUUGUUGGUCGUGCCUCGGUACGUACUGGUAUUAUUGGUUUCUCCCUUCUGAAGAACCUUGAUGUCAUUAAUUUGGUGUCUUGGGGAAUCAGGACUGUUACUUUGAAAAAAUUAGAGUGUUUAAAGCAGGCAUACGCUUGAAUACAUUAGCAUGGAAUAAUGAAAUAGGACGUUUGAUUCUAUUUUGUUGGUUUCUAGGAUCGACGUAAUGAUUAAUAGGGAUAGUUGGGGGCAUUAGUAUUCAAUUGUCAGAGGUGAAAUUCUUGGAUUUAUUGAAGACUAACUACUGCGAAAGCAUUUGCCAAGGAUGUUUUCAUUAAUCAAGAACGAAAGUUAGGGGAUCGAAGACGAUUAGAUACCGUCGUAGUCUUAACCAUAAACUAUGCCGACUAGGGAUCGGAUGAUGUUAUUUUUAAUGACUCAUUCGGCGCCUUACGG